CAGCUCAUAUAAGGUAAAAAGAAAAAGGUUAUCCAGCUUCUGAGCCGCAUGGAAGGAGAUUUCACCCAGCGCUCCCAUGCCAGCUGCUUAAAAAACCCCAGCGGGCAGUGUGGGGCCACAGUGCCAGUUAUAAUGGGACAGGAGGAGGUGGCGGUUGCGUGCCCGCGCCCCGCGGUGAUGUGGGAGAGGGCAGCAGCCUUGGCCACAGGAGUACCCAGGGACACAGCCAUCACUGGAGAUACUGGAGGUGCACAGAGAUUGUACAUCCCCGGACAGCAAGAGAAAGGCAGAUCUGGCGUGCCAGUGUCCUGCCUGCAUUGGAUGCCCUUUUGGCACUGGCAGCAGCAAGCACAAACCCAGCAGCUGGUUCCCAGGGCAGUGCUGAGCCUGGGGUCGCUCCCCGCUAAAAGCAGCCUGGCCCCUUCCCAAGGAGCUGCUCACAAGGAGUGCACGGGGCUGGGAGGCUGAGCUCUGACAUGGGACAGCCAGGAGGGGCCCUGUGAGCAGUGCUGCCCCGUGGCACUGAGCCCCAUGGCUGUUCCCACACUUGGCCAGUGCUCAGGGCUGGCCCGGCCCGAGCUGGGAGCAGGGACAGCCAGAGCUGGCAAAAGCAGCUCCCAGACAUCCCUCCCGAGUGACUCACACCGUGAUCUGCACAUGGAGUUUGGGGCACCGUGAGGCUUUUCCCUUUCUUUCCUCCCAAUAAAUCGGGGCUGAGGAGCUGGGGGAUGGUGGCUGGGGGAGCGGGGUGCGAGCAGAGGCUGUGGGUGCCCGGCUCCCAGCUGGGUGCGCUCAGGGGGGGCCAUGCCGGAUGCAGGGCGUCACGCUGGAGCUGCACCAUCUGCUUCUUGUCAGGCUGCUGGGAGCACUGCGGCCGUGGCUGUGAUGAAUGGUGUGUUUAUCGUGCUCUAGCGCUACUCAGGAUGUUAGUGCUCGCCUGCAGGAGAUGUUUCUGUGCUCGGCUGCUCCCCCUGUUCUCCCUCCUCCUGCUCCCCCCAGACCGUCUCCCUUGGGCCCACGAAGGGGAAGCGGGGGGUGUCCAUCCCACAGCCUCCAGCUCUGCCUGCAGCUGAGCUCCAGGGACCAGCACUGAAGCCUUCCCACAGGUACCACCCAGCUGCAGGCUCCUCUCUGGUGAGGACAGGGAUGGGGGCAGGGAUGGGGGCAUCCCACAUCACCCCAGGGGUGUCCUGGCCCUGCUGAGUGGCAGACCCAUACUCCACAGCCACCCCAGCAGCCACAUCAGUGUGGUUUGAGAUCACAGGCAGUGACUCCUCAGUGCUGGACCACGUUCCAGGUCCUGCAGCCCCACAGACACAUGGUUGGGAUGCAGUAGUGGCUGCAGCCCUUCUUCAAGCACAGCAGUUUAUCUGUGCGAUGCCACAGCCCUGUUCACCCCACCAGCCCCCAGCCUCAUCCACCCUGCAGCCGUGAUGCCCAGUGGAACAGCCACACGGCCAUGUGUGGCAUGGCACACAUCGAACGCAGCCGGGGGCUCCUCCAUGUCUCCCAGCCCAAGGUGCAGUGCUGCAUCUCUGGUCAAUUGGGAGUCUGAGAUGAAGCACUGUAGCUCGGGAAGGGAGGAACUGUGCCCUGGGACCCCGACAGCCCUUGGACUGAAUCCUGCUGGGAGCACUGAUGCCAACGGAACGUGGGAGCUGCGCAGUGAGAUGGGAGCACAGCUCACGGCUGGAUUUGGGGUUUCCCUCCCCCUUCCCAGCCCACUGCCUCUUGCUGGGUCCUCAGCUGUGGGAGCAGGGGCUCUCCCAGCCGUGUUUUGGACAUUGCCUCUGAUGGAGAAGCACAGUGAACGGAGCUUGCUGUGUCCCAUGAAGGUCCCAUAGAGGCUGCAGACCCCCAGCCGUGGGGCAGGGCUCACCCCUCUGCUCCGUAUCCUGCGAGAGAAGGGCAGAGGAGGAGAGGUUUGCUUUGAGGCAGAGGAACAUCAGUGUGCCCGGUCAGGAUCCCCAGAGCACCCAGCUCAGUGUAGGGUGCAGCGUGGGGGCAGCGGGGUCACACACAGAGCAGCCGUGCAGGUUAAGGGCCGGUGGGAGCCGCGGUCGCCGUGCUCUCAGGGUCCAGUUUUCCCAGGAAUCCCUUAGGCGCUACGUUGGGGAUUCCUGGAAAUACUGUUCUUGGGGCCACGGCUCUGCACAUGGACACAGCCCGACCCCGAGCGGAGCCGCAGCCCCGCAGGAGCCACGGACGAGGUACGGGGAUGCGGCUGCGAGUGGGACCCCCCGGGAAGCCCCGAUAUGGGGCGGUGGAGGGACCAGCCCAGGUAAUGCCCCCAUCCCGCAGGGCUCGGGGAUAUUGCCGGCCCUUCGGUGCGGGCUGACACCACCGGCGGCCUUUAACACCCUUCGCCGCCCUCCACGAAGGACAGACCUCCGCCCCUGUAUCAAUAAAGGUCUCAACCCCAA